CGGCCCCAUGUGAAUAUGUCCCAGCUUUUCCUCCUUAGCACCAAUGGCAAAUCUUCCAUGCUGUUUCAGGCAACGUGGUCGACUCUCAGUUUAGGAAACAUGGUGACUGGGGUCCUGGAACCCCAGCUGUGAGUAAUUCCCAUGUUGAGGAUCCCCCUCCCUGCCCUUGUCCUGACGUAGGACUCUGGCCUGGAAACUCGGUGACCUCGUCUCCAAUGCCCAGGAGCAGCCCCCUGCCUCCCACUCAGUGCCUGCCCCAGCCCUUGACUCACUAUGCAGCUGGAGAAGCCGAUGCCCCCCAGGCGGGGACAUAUAUAGUGCCACACACCGAUGCUGCCGCGGCGGAUCCUCUGACCCACAGCCAGCUCCAGGAAGAAGAGGGGGAUCCCGAUGAUGAUCAGCAGCACCAGGUAGGGGAACCUCCAGAUGUUGCCGAGGCCCACAGAGAAGCCAAUCUGGGCCAGGAUGUACUGCAGCUUACUGUUCCAGGCCGGCCGGUCCUCUGCAUCCAGCUCCUCCUCCACCGCCUUCUGCUUGCCGCCUGCCUCACCAGCCACAUUCAGUACACUCUGCUUAUAGUCCACAGGCUCCUCGAGGGCCAGCAGGUCGGCCACGGACUCAGUGACAUGCUCACUGCUGUGCUCACGCUGGGUCACUUUGCUGUUCUUCGGCAUUGAUGCCACCUGGGCCGUGUAGCCCUGCUCCCCAGCACACAGAGAAGAUGGAAUUCAGCUGCUGUCAGCUCCUUCUCAUUCAGGGACCUAGGAAACCAGGUGAGCAGUAAAGGAUUAUCUGAC
rnacentral:lncRNA from 1 species